CCAUUACUGACGCUUCCCGCGCCAUUCAGCGUGCACGCGCGACGGAAAGAGGCACGUAACCGUUGGGAGACUGUCUGGAGUCUGUCUGAAAUCGAUAAUUUUGGAAAAUGGAGUUUUGCGAUUUCCGUGAAUUGACGCAGACGCCGUUAGGUGGGAAGUGUAAUUUAUUUUAUUUUGCUGUCCUUUUCUUAUCAAAUUUUCGCCGACGAGUCACCCCGCUUAGCCGAAUAUUUAUCUUAUUUAUUUAUUUUAGAUAAAGGCUCUGAAAGUUUUUCUUCUGCAGUCUGGCAGCAGACAUGUCUUUAUGCUCAGGGGAUUUAUAGUUUCGUAUAGUUUGUCAUCCCUUCAUGCCUUCAGUCCAUAAGUUUUCCCACCAAAUUGGAUUGGAGGUGGGGAACUGGACGGACAUGGAAGUGAUACACAUCAGACGCACCCUACCUUAAGAGACCACGGCCAUCACUUUUCUGACCCAACUUUUCUGGCUAAGCUGCCCCAUGUGACCAGCGACGGUACAACUGUCUUCGGUUCCACCUGGAUACACAAUAGGACAUUUUCUUUCCCAUUCCCAGACUGGCUGCCACUUCCUAACAGCUCUAUUGCAAAGCAUCCCACAUGUGUUGUGCAGUGGGGAGGAUUUGCACAUACAGAGGGAGCUGGUUGUGGACUAGGAGGAAGAUGUCACACUAAAGAUGGGUUUCGGUGAUGAUGUUGCUGCUGUUGAUGCAGCAUCGAGCUCUCACUUUGUGUCUCUGUCAACUAUGAUCCGUAACCGCAAAGUGAGUGACAGGCCAAUCCCCGGGGAAGCAGGGGGCCUGAGGUGAGUCAGAUGUAUUCUUGACCUUGUCUAACUGUGUGUCAGCAACUAACACAAACUCAGUAAAGAGAAAGAAACACAAAUAAAAGUCCAGAAAUGACACGACUGUACAUGCUACAUCUUCAUCCAGCAUUUUGAAAAGCAAACAAAUCUACUCAAGCUAUGUGGGUUUUUUCAUUAUUUAUCUCUCAACUGAUGAGUUAUGAAAUUAUGAUUACAAAGCUCAUCAUAUUUUCAACAAGACCAUAAAUUGCUUUGUGUACUCCUGUGUUCCACUGAAGUGCUGAAUAUUUUACUACUGUAUGAAUGCUGCAAACCCGUUUGAGUCGUAAACAUACUUUACUCUCAACUUUUUUUAUCUAACAUGCAGAGAAACAUAAAAUGAUGUUGCUUUUUAUUUAAACAUGUCAGAAAAGUUGUGUUUUUGUGUUGACUUGAUUCAAACCUCUGUUGAGCCUUUGUGUGAUGGUUUUUGUUUGAAAGGAAUCAAACUUUUCCAAAACUAAACUUGGUUGGAAUUCUACUGAAUUCUUUCUACAAACUUUUUCUCUAUUUUUUUUAUCUUGUAAUUAAAUAAAAGUCUUGUUACCCAUGCCUGUCUUGUUUAAAUAAGUCAAAAUGUAAGUUAUUUUAUAUUCUAUUAAAAAGGGGGGAAAUUCAUAAAGACGUGUGUUUUUUUUUUACUUUUUUUUCUAUCGUCAAAACAUAAAAUAUUACUUUAAAUCAACAUAUUUUUGAUUGUAAUGACCUAACAUAUGGAUUAAUUCUGUAAGCAAAAAUAAAAAGGUAUGCAUUGAUGGAAAUUGUGAAGUUAAUGUUGCAUGAAUGCAAUAAAGUUUCACAUUUUUGCUUGAGUAAAUUGGGUAAAUGUGAUUUUUUUUUUUCCCUGAGCAUGUUUAUUGUCGUUGGGUAAUUUUCCCAAACUAAUCAUAAAACUGCAUCAAAAAAUAAAAAGAAAAGGGAGCUGAGUUUUAAAAUGAAACAAAUGAUGCAACUUGUGUAAUCGCAACUUAAAAUCAGAGGCUAAUUUUUUACAUAUUUUAUCUAGUCAUCAUGUUUGGUGUUUUUUUUUCUUUUCAUUUAGAUACUUUGUAGUAAAAUCUGUGUAGACCCAAAGCUUUUUCUACAACGUUUGCCAAAGUAAAGGCUCCUAAGUUUUGUCACCAAGCAUAAAAACAUCCAAGAAAUGAGGGAAAUAUUGAAAAGGUUUCUCUAAGUAUUUUUUUUUGUCCUAGUCUUCUUUUAAGUGAACUUCUUGAGCGUCUCUUUUUAGAAGUCACUCAAACACGGUGUGAGAAAUGAGUUGCCCGGGUUUGACUUUACCAAAAAGCAUCCCGUUCCUAUUGUCUGCCAAGUCAACUUCUGCAGGCCCCAGCGCCCUGACUUCCAUACAUGAGAGAUCAAGGGUUACCAAGGUGCUUUGGAGGAAGGAGAGCUCAAUGUGAGUGGGGACAAACCAGUCCAGAAAAUACUCAUUUCCUCUGCAUGUUUUGUGCCUUAGUGGGGAUUCAGAUGAACAGAUUUUUAUCCUCCCAUCACUGUUCCUAAUGAAAACUGUUGCUUCCCUUUGGAGGGGGGCUGUGGCUGCUACCUGUCGCCUGCUGUACAGUAUGCGGCUCGUUAAUUCUCCGAGUUUGGCCAAAAGAAAGUUUGUCCAGACUCUUGUUUAUCCGGUAGUACCAGACGGAGGCACCUCAUGUAGAAAAAAGGUAAAAGCAGUUCUGUCCACCUCUCAUUCUUGCCAAAAAAGUUCAGCCACUGAGCCACGGCAUUAACUUGUAUUCUAACAAGAUUAAAAUAUAUUCGUCCUGGGGAUUAGCAUAGUUAGGUGUCCUUUUGCCUCUUUUUUUUUGCCUGCGCUGGUGCGUUGACAGUGGGCUUUGAUCUGUGUUGCGAGGCAAGAGUCCUGGCUUGGACCUUACCAUUCGAGUGCCAAGUGUGAAAUUGGCCUGAUGUCAUCCCCAUUCUUCACCUUUUACAUCUUUCACCACUUUAAUUAUGUUUCCGCCACAAAGCCCAGGCACCUCUGAGCAGAUUCCACUCUGGCCAUAGGAAGCAUUUAGAAACUGUGGGUAAAUGACACAGUAGGGGAGGGGGAGGAUGGUCGGAGAGGUCAUAGCAGGAUGGGGCCCUUUUGUGUUUGGAGGUGGACAUUGAUAGUUUCCUGAUGGAUCCAACACUUCGAUUUUUACAGCAUGAGAACUCAGAAAAUUACAAAAAAUAUGUUCUCACAGUUUUGUUUUUGUGCUAAAGUCCAACUCUGAUCAUCUUUUCAUCUGUUUUUAAAACAUCUUUUAAUUAUAAUUAUGCAGUUUUUAGGCAAAAUCAUCAAAACCUGUCUCAUUAUCUUGGACAUAGUUCCUGCAGAGGGACAGGAGUUGUUUUUUAGAAAUUUGCAUCUUGAGUUGUUCAAAGUAAGCCUGCCUCUAUUUCCCAUCAUCCCUUUGUUUACACGCUCUCCCACUAGCUUACAGCCCAUUAUGAGUGCAAAAAAAAAAAAAUGGUGAGCAAUAUUGUAGCUAUCCAGCCGUACAAUUCUGAGCUAAACGGAGGAAAACAAAGACGUGUAUGGAUCAGAAUGGCUGUUGCAGGUCCUACAAGCCAUUUCCAAAUACAUUUUUUCAUAUGCUUCUGAUUUACAGUGAUUUGAAAAAACAAAAACUCAAUUUUGAGCUUAAUUUUCUUCACAAAUGUCACCCACCAUGAGAAAAUGCUGCAAGAUCACAUUAAAAACUCCAAAAACACAAUUUUCAUGGGAGUGGGUCUUUAAAUGAAGAACCAGAUGAGGUGGUUUGCACGUGAAUCUCACUUCCACAAAUGAGACUAAUCAUUCUCAGUUCCAGGAGGAGGUAUCCACGAAGCCUCGCCGCUUUGCAUCUCAUUUGUGCAUCAGUGUCCCUGUCUGAACUUCAGGCGGCUUCCUCUGCCACUGAAUAUUUUGAUGACGGUUCCUGUUGAUGAUCUGAAGGAAGCAUCAAAACAACAGGGGUGUGUGCAGCACAUGUGCGGACGAACAGAAAUGAAUGGAGUCUGGGGAUGUGUGUGUGCGCGCCCGUGUGCAUGGCCGGAAUGAAAUAAAAUGCAGUGAUUAGAUAUGUGUGUAAAGCAGAGAGCAUGAGUAUAAAGAGUGAGAAAGCUGUGUGUGGAGAAUGGGUUACUGAGGGGCGGGGAGUGGGGGAACCAGCCACCUGCAGCCAUGACGGGCUUUGACCUUCAUUGCUCUUUCCCUCUCCCUCCCUCCCUCUUCCUCUGCUCCCAUUUCUGCCUCGUGAUAGAAGCAAAGGCUCUUUUCAGAGGAGGAGAGGAAGACUGACCGUCUCGAAGACAGUGCUGGGAGCAGCCCCAUCCACUCCAAUGCUAGUCACUGGCCGUUAGACAUGGCGUUCAAAGACUAGCGGUGCAAGUAUGGAAAUGCAGAUAAGGCAUUGUUGAGGAAACAUGCCGGGGAAUUGUUCAAGGCUUUCCCUUGCAUAAUGUUUGGAUGCUUUUGCAAAUGUUUCAAUCUCAGAAACCCAUGAAUUUGAUCCUCCACGAAUCGGACUGGGAAGGUUUGCAGGGGAAGGGGUUAUUGUGCAAUGCAAAUGACUUCUCUGUGAUUGAAUUUGUGAAUAUUUCAUGCAUUUAUCUUUUAUGGACAGCACGUAAUGAAUUUGUUUCCAAAGUCCAGCUCAAGUCCAGCACUGAUUAAGGCUUACAUGUCCUUCUGCCGCCAGGACUCACUUCCAGGAGCAACACAAAGAGCACAGUCUUGUUUGCGUAUAAUCUUCAAGGUUUAUUUACUCUUCUUUUGCAGUUUUCAGGAGUCAGUUAAUUACACAAUUAAUACAUGAUACAAAGUAUGUACAUUUUUACCAAAGAAUACUCCAAACAUAAAAUAAAAAAUAGCAUUGUAUUCUACAACUCUGUGUUGUAAUUUUAUUUAAACAUGUUCAUAUAUAGAUAGAUAUACGCUGAUGAGUAAAUUCAUAAUGUCGUACCAGCAGUUUUUCAUAAAGGCAUUAAACUUGAGUAGUCUGCAUUUGAAGUAAUACUGCUUCUCUGAUUCGGCACAGUUCUGUUUCAUAAAAGGUUCCCACUUGAACUUUAAGGCAAAGUGUGUUUCGGUUUGGUGGAUUUUAAUUCACACACACUUUUUGCAGAUAUACAACAAAAGGAAAAAGAAAAGAAAAAUACUUUGAAAGGCAAAAAAGUCCACAAUUUGGUAUGGAUACAGUCUGAAACUUAGCUCAAUCAUACUUUUGUCAGGAGAGGACCAAAGUCUAUAAACACAGUUAUUUUCCCCAAGUACAACAAAUUGCAGCUUCCAUGCAAAGGCCCCAUAAACAAAUGUUCAUUCACAAAGAAAUAAAAUAAAAACAAAAAAACAGAGAAAAAGAGUAGUUAUUGCAAGAUAAACAAGCAGUGUAAACACCUCAGAUAUCUACUCUAAAGCAACACUGGUCAUUGGAUAGAUUUUUUUUCUCAAUAUAAUCUAUAUAAAUACACAUAUGAAGUCCUUUCAACAACAAUAAGCGGUUUCCAACAUUUGUUAUACAGUCACUGAUGGAUUUGCCUACUUUGUAUGAUAUAUGGAUAUGUCAAAAAAAGUUUAAUCUAGGAUUUCCUCCAA